rnacentral:rRNA from 1 species
GACGAACGCUGGCGGCGCGCCUAACACAUGCAAGUCGAGCGAGAACCAGGGCUUCGGCCCUGGGGAAAGCGGCGAACGGGUGAGUAACACGUGGGUAACCUGCCCUCGGCACCGGGAUAGCCCGAGGAAACUCGGAUUAAUACCGGACAGCCUCACUAGCCCUCGGGCGAGUGAGAAAAGGUGGCUUCGGCUUCCGGCUGAGGAUGGGCCCGCGGCCGAUUAGCUUGUUGGUGAGGUAAUGGCUCACCAAGGCUCCGAUCGGUAGCUGGUCUGAGAGGACGAUCAGCCACACUGGGACUGAGACACGGCCCAGACUCCUACGGGAGGCAGCAGUGGGGAAUCUUGCGCAAUGGGCGAAAGCCUGAUGCAGCGACGCCGCGUGCGGGAAGAAGGCCUUCGGGUUGUAAACCGCUUUCAGGAGGGACGAGGCCACUCGGGUUAAUAGCCCAGAGGGUGACGGUACCUCCAGAAGAAGCCCCGGCUAACUACGUGCCAGCCGCCGCAGUAAGAC